CCUCACCGUCUCCUCCAACUGGACGUCCCCCUCAGCCCUGACCCUCCACUGCCAGCGCUGCCCCCUGCUGGCUGGCUCGGCCUCCUUCCGCUGGUUCCUCAACUCCCAGCCCCUGGGCAACCGGGGCUGGGCUACCAAGAGCCAGCUGGGGGCUACCGUGAGGCUGGACCCGUCCCGGCGCGGGGCCUGGGGGCGCUGGGAAUGUCACCUCCUCGGCGCCUCCUCUCGGGGCUUUGAGUUCUGCCUGGAGCCCCCCCUCGGGGCAGGAGGCACAGGCUCCAGCUCUGAGUGGGGGAUCUGGGUUGUGGCGGCGGUUCUGGGUCUGAUCGGCGCAGGGCUGGGCGCUUGGCACCUGUGGAGGUGGAGACGGAUACGGGGCAGGAACCGAAGGAAUCAAAACAAAAAAGAGAACAAAACAGGAGCCCCCGGGCCCCGUUUAUGCCCCUUGGAAGAGCCACGGCUUGGAGCCAAAUCGACCGAAAGACGCCUCGUGCCCCAGAGUCGGGAAAGAAAAGUCCCAGGCACCCUGCUUUAUGCUGAAGUCCAGCACCCCCUGGUGGCUCGAGCCCCAGCCCCUCCCCCACACGGUGCCACGGUCUAUGCCACUAUUGUCUGACCCCCACCCACCCUGGCUCCGCUCCCCUCUCCUCUCCACCCCCUUCAUGAGUUGCAUUCACACCCCUGGCUCCCAGGUGAU